rnacentral:antisense_RNA from 1 species
UUACAUGUCUAGUCUGUGUGGUUGGUGGUGAAUAGGCUUCUUUUUACAUGGUGCCGCCAAGCCCAGCUAAUUAAUGGUGCACGUGGACUUUUAGCAAGCGGGCUCCCUGGAAGAGACUGAACCUGGCAUGGAAUUCCUGAAGAUGUUUGGGGUUUUUUUCUUUCUUAAUCGAAAGUUAACAUUGUCUGAAAAGUUUUGUUAGAACUACUGCGGAACCUCAAAAUCAGUAGAUUUGGAAGUGAUUCAAAGCUUAACUUUUUCCUUGGCCCUCCUCGUGUUCUAAUUGCUUGCAAGUGUAAUACUAGGAUGUCCAAGAUGCCAGUUUUUGCUUCUUUGUUAGUUGUCAGCUGCUUUUAUCAAAUUUCAGGCCAUUAUCCAACAAACACUAUAAAAAUGUUUGAACAAUUGGAUUUCAAACAUAUUCGUUUUGUGGAGUGGUGCUCACCAAGUGGUACAGCCCUAAGCAAGUGAACACAAACACAUUUAAGUGUAUUUUGUCUGAUUCGAUGUUAGCCAGUUAUGCUAUUUCAUUCAAAUGUCUGAAAAAAUCAAUUGACUAUUCCCUUUUCCUAAAGGGCAGAGACAGAUAAUCUCACUUCCAGAGAAAUGACUGUUUUGGAGAAAAAAAGUGUUGGUCUUUUUGCUCUUUUGUAAUUAAAUCUGGAUGUACCUCAAAAGACUCUUAAGACUGUGGUGAUAAGAUGCUUUCCUCAGCAGAAAGGAGGGAAAAAAAACAACUGGAACUCAAAGCUUGAAAUUCUGUGGCAAAACGAGAUGUCCAGGAUUGGAGGUUGAAAAGAUUUCACUACAGUGUUCUGCAAUAGUUGGAGCAGAUAACUUUCAGUGUAGCCACAGCCAUGGACUCCAGAUUUCCAGAUUUUCAAGAACUGGACCUGGAACCCGAAAGAGCUUGUCAGGAUGCGGCAAGAACACUGGAGGUAGAUUUUUUUUUUAUUUUUGAAUUUUGGGACUGUUGACCUUGCUGUGAGAAAAGAGACAACGACUGAGCAAGCACUACCACCAGCAUUGUUACUGGGAAUUAGAAGACCUGAGUUUCUGUCCAGACCCUCAGUGCAAACUGAGGACGCUCCAUCCAAAGUGAAUCAUGUCCUGUGCCUCCUGAUUGCUGAGUGUUCACCUGGACCUUCUGACUACCUUCCCUGUGCUAUUCCAUCAGCCUACAGACCUGGUACCUGGAUUUUUGCCCGAGAUGAUUCCUACCACCUUACUACUGAAGAAGACACCCAUUCCAGUGGACCACUGUGACCCAGGAGGCAUUCAGCCAUCAUGAUGUGGCCUUUACCUCCACUCCUGUCCUGUUCUACCCAGAUUCAGCACAGCCCUUUAUAGUGAAGUCAGAGUCCUCAAGCCAAAUAGCUAAAGCUGUUUUAUCACAACAAAGGCCUAGUUUGUUCCAUGAGUGUGCAUUUCAUUUCUUCAGUUAAAGCCUUCAGAGACACACAAUAAAUUUGGACCAGGGGAUUUUUUAGUUAUUAAUGCUCUCUGAAGAAAGGCAACAUCUUUUUGAGAGCAGCAUUGGACCACACCCCACAAUCUCAAAUGGUUGAAAUUCGUGAACAUCUAGGAUCCCGUGAAGGUCACUGGACCCUGUUUUUUCUACUUCAAAUCCUGUAGUAGCCUACUGAAUGAGAAAACAUAUUCUGACCCAUUGGAAUCAAAUCAGAGGCACAGUGAACUCCUCAUAGCAUCUUCUUUGGAAUUACUCAGGAACCAGAACUUUUUACACAAAUGUAAGAAAUUCUACCAAGGAGUCCCCUUACCUAACAGCAUCUCACAAGGCUGCAUCAGAUUCCAGAAAAGGCUUCUCUUGAUACAUCAAGGUAGAACCUCUAUGCAUUUUGUGACCGACUUAUUCUUAGAUCAUUGGUUUUCCAAAGGCUUUGUGGCCAUGAAGCCCUUUGAGUGAAAACUGCAGAAGCCCAGAGUAAAAGUGAAGCUGCUCUGGAUGAAGUAGUGAAGCAAGAGUAGGGGCCUGAAGCCUGCUACGACUAUCUUCCUUUACCACCGUGGUGACACCUAAGGGGACUUCCUUACAACACCUUGAACUCUUCCAAACACAGUUUGAAAACCACUGCCCCAGACAGCAAUAUGUUUGACCUGAAUGGCAUUCCAAUCUUUUCUGUACCUCCACUCAGCACAGUUCGUGUUCAGUAGAUGCUGAACAUUCUUAGAAAUACUGUGCGCGAACUUAGAAAAGUGCAAGAAGACAGGCAUGUCUUUGACCCCAGGAAUGAUCAUGGGCUGAAGAUGGUGUCAAGUGAACCUAGAUUAACAGCCCUCCACUCCAGAUGGAUAUCCAGUGAUUCCUAGAAUGGGAUAUAGCCAGAGAACAAUUCUAUGCACCCUACACUGACAGACUCCCUUAAGCAACACCAGAUGCUCUACUGGUACUUGAAGUACAUGACUUUGAAGUCUUGACCCUCCAUGAAUACCUGAAUUACCAGCAAGUGGGUUUUGAAGCUGGUGCCUCAUCAAGGCCAUAUUAGAGCAACUUGUACAUUUGACCUCUUGUUAUCAGCCAUGGUACUCUACUUCGUGAGCAAGAGAUAACUAUGAAAGCCGAAUUCAAAUACUGGCAACAUUUCCUAAAGGGGCUCAAUAUCUAUCAUUCAUCUUCUUUUCCAAACUACACAUCACUGUAUGACUCAACCAGUAGCAGUUAUAUUGCCCCUUGGUUUUUAUUCAGUUUAACUACUGUUUCCAGGGUAAAUGAGCUAAUAACCAUUUUUUA